GUGAAUCAUCGAAUCUUUGAACGCAAAUUGCACUCUCCUCGGAGAGUAUGCCCGUUUGAGGGUCAGCCUAUAAAAAAUCGACAUCGUUGCUGUUUCGCGGUGGCAUUCGUCGGUAAAUGGGUUAUAUUCAAUCCUUUUGGGUUUUAAGCGACAUACAAUUUUCUUCUUGGUUCCAUGAACGAUUCUAAGAUUUAUUUCUAUACACGUUUAAGGUAUCGAUUUUUGUUAGACGUGACCAUCAUAUCGGAUCACGUCCAUAAUC
rnacentral:misc_RNA from 1 species